rnacentral:rRNA from 1 species
AUGGAACGCCUGCCGGAGGAGCUCCUCGUGCGUGUGGUCUCGCUCACGUCGCCGCUGGACGCCUGCCGCGCGGCCGCUGUCUCCCGGGCCUUCCGCGCCGCAGCGGACUCCGACGCCGUCUGGUCCUUCUUCCUGCCCCGUAACCUCCCGCGGUUCGCCAAAGGCGAGCUCCCCCGCACGCAGCCGUCGAGCAAGAAGGAGCUGUUCCGACGCCUCUCCGACCAGCCAGCUCUCCUCCCACACAAAUUAGUGAGCAUGCAGCUGGACAAGGCUACCGGCGCCCAGUGCUUCACGAUUUCGGCGAGGGCGCUACUGAUUCCGCGGUGCAAGGGCUCGCACCGGGUCAGUUUAUGUGCACUUUCGAACUGCAGCAAACAAGACAAAAGGUUCUUCUCCGAAGACGCUCGGUUCUAUCGUAUCAAUGAGUUGGAGAUCCGGGGCAAGAUACAGACGAAGAUGCUCUCACAAAGCACAACAUAUGCCGUAUACUUGGUGUUCAAGCUAGCAUAUGUAUACAAUGAGUUCGAUUUCCCAUACGAGGUGGCUUCCGUUGGUGUUGCCGGGAGAGAGUCGACCCGGCAAGUUUGUGUGCAAGGUUGCAGAGGGAGUCUUAGUUGUGACGCAAAUCCUCCCAGAGAGGAAGUUCAUUUCCCUCAUGAAAAAGACGAUGGUUGGAUGGAGGUGGAGUUGGGUGAGUUCCGUAACGAGGAGUGCGACGGUGGUGACGAGGUGUCCAUCAGCUUCAUGGGAGAAAGCAAGUCUGGUCUUACCGUGCUGGGCAUUGAGCUCAGAACUACGCCACUGCUGCCGGAGGACCUCCUGGUGCACGUGAUCUCGCUCACCUCGCCGGCGGACGCCUUCCGCGCCACCGCUGUGUCCAGGGCCUUCCACGCCGCCGCCGACUCAGACACGGUCUGGUCCCGCCUCCUGCCGCGCGACCUCCUGCAGUUCGCCAGGAGAGAGAUCCCCCGCAAGCCGCCGUCGACCAAGAAGGGGAUGUUCCGGCGCCUCUCCGGCGAACCAGCCCUCCUCCCGGCCAAGUACGUGCGCAUGCAGCUGGACAAGGCCACCGGCGCCAAGUGCUUCACGCUGUCGGCCAGUGCGCUGCAAGCUAAUGAUUCUCAUACGCCCUUGAUACGUGUAGGUACAGUCCCGGGCUACAGCAAAAGAGGCAAAAGGUUCUCAGAAGCAGGGGAACUCGGCUAUGGCAUACUGAAGAUACGUGCCAAGAUACAGAAAAACAUGCUCUCUCAAAACACAACCUAUGUGGCAUACAUGGUGCUCAAGCUAGGGCCUAGAUUUCACGGGUUCGAUUUCCCGUUUCAAGAAGCUUCAUUUGGCGUUGCUGGGAGCGAGUCGGUCCGGAAGGUUUGCCUGCAAGGCUAUGUCGAGGACGCUGACAAGGCCGAUGAUCCACCUCGGAAACACAUCAUGCCAAGUUAUUAUCUUAAUCGUGACGCGGUUCCUCCUGGAGAUGACGUUGUUUUCCCUCGUAAGACAGCCGACGAUUGGAUGGAGGUGGAGUUUGGUGAGUUCCAUAAUAAGGGAGGUGACGGUGACGUCUCCAUCAGCUUGACCGAGACGACAGAACCCAAGAGUGGCCUUAUUGUCUGGGGCAUUGUGAUAAGAAGUAAGCAAACAAAUCAAAAAAAGAAAAAAGAAGUAAGCAAGAAAGGCAAGUAA